AUGAGUUGCCUAAGUUGGAACUGCCGGGGGCUUGGGAACCCAGCGGCAGUUCGUGAGCUUCGCAAUGUUGUGAAGCAAGAAGGGCCCGAUCUCCUAUUUGUUAUGGAGACGAAGAGUUCGGCAAAUAGAGUGGAAAGUCUGGAACUCCUGCUUGGGUUCGCGGGCUGUUUUGUAGUUAGCAGCGCCGGUCUCAGUGGGGGAAUUGGUAUGUUUUGGUCCGGGGAACUGGAUGCAGAGUUGAUGAACUAUAGUUCCGGCCAUAUUGAUAUGAUGGUGCGGAAGAAAUUUAAUGGCGCGAAGCAAUGGAGGGUGACGGGUUUCUAUGGUGCACCGAGAGUUGAGGAUGGUCUGUUGGAAAUAUGCCCUGGAGGCAAUAAUAAAUUAGUUAUUAUUAUUAUAUUUCCUUGUUCAUGA
rnacentral:rRNA from 1 species